ensembl:lncRNA
GCGACAAGAAGCCACAAGGCGGGUGGCCGGUCUAUGAAGCCUCCAUCAUCAAGCUAGCAGCCCAUGAAAUCGAAUGCAGAUCUUCCUGAUGUGAGAUUUACAUAAAUAUGUCAAAGUCUCAACCUCAUGCUGCCCUCCCCCAUCCUCCUAAACCUGUGGAUACAAAUGCAGAUUUCCUUAAUGUUCAAUGGUGCGUGUUCUUCUAAUGGCUGCCUUCCCACUGGAGGUUUUGAUCCACAGCAAUUUAAAAGGAGGACAGAGCAAAACGGACAUCGGCGCAGAGCGAAGAACUGCCCUUCAUAAGGACACUAUGACAGCCAUAUAUAUGGCAGUAAGGAAGAGGUUUCCCAAUGUGUCCAGAAGGGCUUUGAGGAUUGCAGUGAAAGCUGGGGGAACUGAGACUGACGGAAAAGGAAAAGAAAUUACAUUUUAAGUAUGUUGACUUAUGUUCAUACAAUCACACACACAUAUACACAUACACACACACAUAUAUAUACACACAUAUAUAUGUAUAUGUGUGUGUGUGUUUCUUUUAGAAUGUUUAAGUAUGUAAUGAGAAUAAAAUUAUAAAAUGAAUAUUCCUUGCUUGAUUGAUAUGCUAUAUGUAUGUUUUAAACAUCAAAUAAAGAUUUCU